rnacentral:tRNA from 1 species
UCCCUAGUGGUCUGGUGGUUGGGACUCUGUGCUGCUAAUGCAGGGGCCCAGGUUUGAUUCCAGGUCAGGGAA